UACGAAGGGGACUAGCGUUGUUCGGAAUCACUGGGCGUAAAGCGCACGUAGGCGGAUUUGUAAGUCAGGGGUGAAAUCCCGGGGCUCAACCUCGGAACUGCCUUUGAUACUGCGAAUCUUGAGUCCGAUAGAGGUGGGUGGAAUUCCUAGUGUAGAGGUGAAAUUCGUAGAUAUUAGGAAGAACACCAGUGGCGAAGGCGGCCCACUGGAUCGGUACGUGACGCUGAGGUGCGAAAGCGUGGGGAGCAAACAGG
rnacentral:rRNA from 1 species